rnacentral:lncRNA from 1 species
AUGGCUUCCCCUUUCCCACAGGACAAAGUUAUCUGUUUCUGGGUGCAUGGGCAGGGGCAAACCUUGCUUCACUGCACACAUAAGAGGGUUGAAUCAGAAAGGAUUAAAGUUACUCAAGCAAAGGGUCUUCCAGCGAUGAUGUGCUUGUACCAGUUCUCCAAAAAUUGUGAUACCUAAGAGGUCCUCCUCCAGACAGAUCCAGAAAUAAGACUUUGUACUGGCCUCUGCUAGCAGUGCAUCUCUCUCCUUCAGUCUCAGCUCACCUUGGCCACCGAAAGGGAGCAUGGGUCUGGACAUUGCCUGCCACCCAUCUGCACUGUGACAGCAAAAGUAACAUGACAACAGGUAUUUUAUUCCUGCAUCCCUAAAUCUAAGCUCUAGCUUGUUUAAGUAAGUUCAUUGUCACAUCUGGAUUCUCUGAGCUGGACUCUGUUCUGUGCUUUUACUCCCUGUCACACACAAAGUGAAGACAUUUAACCUCUGGAGCAAGUUACUGUAGUGAUGGACUGGUGAACCAGGAGUUAAAUGGCAUAAUGUGCCAUCUUUAUUUCUCCUGGCUGCCCAAAGCAGGUACGAUCAGGCGAGUAUAUGGUAAAUUAGCCAAGGGUCAUGAGUAGAUGUAGAACUUGUAAUACUGACAUCCAGUGUGGACCUGUAUUGCAGUCACCAGAAGGAUGACCUCAUACAGCCAACACCUUUCUCCUCUCUGCAUACCCUUUCCUUUGUAAGGAACUCCACCGACAGACUGUGUCAUCCCCUGGGUGUUGCCCUUGAUCAUGUUUAAUUUUUAAUAGAAGUUUGGCUAGCUAAGCAGAAAUCAAAGUGGUGGAAGGUCGUUAUAACCAAUUCACCUCUUGAAAUGGGAGCAUAAUAUCGUAACUUGCCAGAAAACUUGUGCUAAUGGACUUUGUUGAAGAUGGAGAGGUCUGUCAUUAGAUAUUUAUGUGACUUCAGCCUGAGUUAGGAACUGAUGUGGUAAAGAUCUGGAGAGGACACAGACCUAAUGAAGAGUCCUCAGAAAGAAGCAUUGCUUUCUGGCUUCUGGACUACUGUCAAGUGUCUGUCCAGGCAUGGUCGAAGGGGAAGGGACUAGGUCAGGUAGUCCAGCUUGUCUGGUUAAGCUUGCCUAUACUCAUUUUUCGCAUGAUCCUUUCAACUAUUCAAC